UAGCAAGAGUGGCUUACGUCAAUAUUUCUCCCAACUUCCUCAUUCCGUUUCAAGCACACUGCGAAAUUUAAAAAGCUGAAGGAUAAUGUGGAAAUUUUUUAUAUUCUUUGGCCCUCAACAUGCUGGAUGAAAGUUCAUGUGGCCCUCUGGCUGUAAUGUUUGGAGACGCCUGGUCUACACGGUCGUCAUAUAUGAAGUCUUAUUUCUAAAACGAAGUUUUUAGGUUCUUUUGUAAUUUUAAGACGAUUUUUGGUGAAGUUAAAUCAAUUGAACCUAAUAAGGGUUGUAUAAUAUUUUUUUAUUUGCUUGAUUUUUAUCUUGUUGAUAUAUACCAAAUUUUUGUACAGAUGGAAUCGCCCGGAAUAAGAAAUCUGUCUUACAUUCAGCAAAUAAUUAAAGUGGUGCAAAAGGAACUUGCUCAGUUCUUCAUUAAACAAUGGAACUCUCGUUACAAAUCAGCUUAUGGAGAAUGGGAUGAUACACACAACAGUGGUAACAAAUUUUACAAUUUAGAAUCAAGAAGAAAGUUAGACCAAAAAACUCGACAAAAAUAUCAAGAUGGAGAUACCAGUAAGUGGGACAGUACAAUAUUAUUUGAUGCAAUAAUUUUUUCAAAUUCAAUUGGAAAGCACCUUGACACAAAAACAAAGGAUGCUGUUCAUGCACUUCGUUGUGAAAGAAACAAGUACGCACAUUGGUAUAAAAGCGAAUGCUCAGAUGAUGAUUUUGAUGAUAUAGUCAACAUCAUUGAAAAAUCAUUUCAAGAUUUGAAAUUUCCUCUCGAUGAAAUCAUUAAAA